rnacentral:rRNA from 1 species
UACGAACGAUGGCGGCGUGCUUAACACAUGCAAGUCGAACGAAGUGGCGACCGGGUGAGUAACGCGUAAUCAACCUGCCCUUCAGAGGGGGAUAACAGUUGGAAACGACUGCUACUACCGCAUACUGAAGAGGGGGUUUGCGUCUGAUUAGCGAGUUGGCGUGGUAACGGCCCACCAAGGCGAUGAUCAGUAGCAGGUCUGAGAGGAUGAACGGCCACAUCUGGACUGAGACACGGCCCAGACUCCUACGGGAGGCAGCAAUGGGGAAUCUUCCGCAAUGGACGAAAGUCUGACGGAGCAACGCCGCGUGAGUGAUGACGGCCUUCGGGUUGUAAAGCUCUGUUAAUCGGGACGCGGUACCGGAAUAGAAAGCCACGGCUAACUACGUGCCAGCAGCCGCGGUAAUAC